rnacentral:misc_RNA from 1 species
GAAAUGCGAUAAGUAAUGUGAAUUGCAGAAUUCAGUGAAUCAUCGAAUCAUUGAACGCACCUUGCGCUCCUUGGUAUUCCUUGGAGCAUGCCUGUUUGAGUAUCAUGAAAUCUUCAAAGUAAAUCUUUUGUUAACUCAAUUGGUUUCUACUUUGGUAUUGGAGGUCUUUGCAGCUUCACACCUGCUCCUCUUUGUUCAUUAGCUGGAUCUCAGUGUUAUGCUUGGUUCCACUCGGCGUGAUAAGUUAUCUAUCGCUGAGGACACUGUAAAAGGUGGCCAAGGUAAAUGCAGAUGAACCGCUUCUAAUAGUCCAUUGACUUGGACAAUACUUUUAUGAUCUGAUCUCAAAUCAGGUAGUACUACCCGCUGAACUUAAGC